rnacentral:rRNA from 1 species
GACGAACGCUGGCGGCGUGCUUAACACAUGCAAGUCGAACGAUGACGACCGAGCUUGCUCGGUCUGAUUAGUGGCGAACGGGUGAGUAACACGUGAGCAACCUGCCCUUCACUCUGGGAUAACCUCGGGAAAUCGGGGCUAAUACCGGAUAUGAGCUCCUGUCGCAUGGCGGGUGUUGGAAAGUUUUUCGGUGAAGGAUGGGCUCGCGGCCUAUCAGUUUGUUGGUGAGGUAGUGGCUCACCAAGGCGAUGACGGGUAGCCGGCCUGAGAGGGCGACCGGCCAAACUGGGACUGAGACACGGCCCAGACUCCUACGGGAGGCAGCAGUGGGGAAUAUUGCACAAUGGGCGAAAGCCUGAUGCAGCGACGCCGCGUGAGGGAUGACGGCCUUCGGGUGGUAAACCUUUUUCAGCAGGGAAGAAGCGAAAGUGACGGUACCUGCAGAAGAAACGCCGGCUAACUACGU